AGCGUACACGGUGGAUGCCCUGGCAGUCAGAGGCGAUGAAGGACGUGCUAAUCUGCGAUAAGCGUCGGUAAGGUGAUAUGAACCGUUAUAACCGGCGAUUUCCGAAUGGGGAAACCCAGUGUGAUUCGUCACACUAUCAUUAACUGAAUCCAUAGGUUAAUGAGGCGAACCGGGGGAACUGAAACAUCUAAGUACCCCGAGGAAAAGAAAUCAACCGAGAUUCCCCCAGUAGCGGCGAGCGAACGGGGAGCAGCCCAGAGCCUGAAUCAGUGUGUGUGUUAGUGGAAGCGUCUGGAAAGGCGCGCGAUACAGGGUGACAGCCCCGUACACAAAAAUGCACAUGCUGUGAGCUCGAUGAGUAGGGCGGGACACGUGGUAUCCUGUCUGAAUAUGGGGGGACCAUCCUCCAAGGCUAAAUACUCCUGACUGACCGAUAGUGAACCAGUACCGUGAGGGAAAGGCGAAAAGAACCCCGGCGAGGGGAGUGAAAAAGAACCUGAAACCGUGUACGUACAAGCAGUGGGAGCACGCUUAGGCGUGUGACUGCGUACCUUUUGUAUAAUGGGUCAGCGACUUAUAUUCUGUAGCAAGGUUAACCGAAUAGGGGAGCCGAAGGGAAACCGAGUCUUAACUGGGCGUUAAGUUGCAGGGUAUAGACCCGAAACCCGGUGAUCUAGCCAUGGGCAGGUUGAAGGUUGGGUAACACUAACUGGAGGACCGAACCGACUAAUGUUGAAAAAUUAGCGGAUGACUUGUGGCUGGGGGUGAAAGGCCAAUCAAACCGGGAGAUAGCUGGUUCUCCCCGAAAGCUAUUUAGGUAGCGCCUCGUGAAUUCAUCUCCGGGGGUAGAGCACUGUUUCGGCAAGGGGGUCAUCCCGACUUACCAACCCGAUGCAAACUGCGAAUACCGGAGAAUGUUAUCACGGGAGACACACGGCGGGUGCUAACGUCCGUCGUGAAGAGGGAAACAACCCAGACCGCCAGCUAAGGUCCCAAAGUCAUGGUUAAGUGGGAAACGAUGUGGGAAGGCCCAGACAGCCAGGAUGUUGGCUUAGAAGCAGCCAUCAUUUAAAGAAAGCGUAAUAGCUCACUGGUCGAGUCGGCCUGCGCGGAAGAUGUAACGGGGCUAAACCAUGCACCGAAGCUGCGGCAGCGACGCUUAUGCGUUGUUGGGUAGGGGAGCGUUCUGUAAGCCUGUGAAGGUGUACUGUGAGGUAUGCUGGAGGUAUCAGAAGUGCGAAUGCUGACAUAAGUAACGAUAAAGCGGGUGAAAAGCCCGCUCGCCGGAAGACCAAGGGUUCCUGUCCAACGUUAAUCGGGGCAGGGUGAGUCGACCCCUAAGGCGAGGCCGAAAGGCGUAGUCGAUGGGAAACAGGUUAAUAUUCCUGUACUUGGUGUUACUGCGAAGGGGGGACGGAGAAGGCUAUGUUGGCCGGGCGACGGUUGUCCCGGUUUAAGCGUGUAGGCUGGUUUUCCAGGCAAAUCCGGAAAAUCAAGGCUGAGGCGUGAUGACGAGGCACUACGGUGCUGAAGCAACAAAUGCCCUGCUUCCAGGAAAAGCCUCUAAGCAUCAGGUAACAUCAAAUCGUACCCCAAACCGACACAGGUGGUCAGGUAGAGAAUACCAAGGCGCUUGAGAGAACUCGGGUGAAGGAACUAGGCAAAAUGGUGCCGUAACUUCGGGAGAAGGCACGCUGAUAUGUAGGUGAAGUGAUUUACUCAUGGAGCUGAAAUCAGUCGAAGAUACCAGCUGGCUGCAACUGUUUAUUAAAAACACAGCACUGUGCAAACACGAAAGUGGACGUAUACGGUGUGACGCCUGCCCGGUGCCGGAAGGUUAAUUGAUGGGGUUAGCGCAAGCGAAGCUCUUGAUCGAAGCCCCGGUAAACGGCGGCCGUAACUAUAACGGUCCUAAGGUAGCGAAAUUCCUUGUCGGGUAAGUUCCGACCUGCACGAAUGGCGUAAUGAUGGCCAGGCUGUCUCCACCCGAGACUCAGUGAAAUUGAACUCGCUGUGAAGAUGCAGUGUACCCGCGGCAAGACGGAAAGACCCCGUGAACCUUUACUAUAGCUUGACACUGAACAUUGAGCCUUGAUGUGUAGGAUAGGUGGGAGGCUUUGAAGUGUGGACGCCAGUCUGCAUGGAGCCGACCUUGAAAUACCACCCUUUAAUGUUUGAUGUUCUAACGUGGACCCGUAAUCCGGGUUGCGGACAGUGUCUGGUGGGUAGUUUGACUGGGGCGGUCUCCUCCUAAAGAGUAACGGAGGAGCACGAAGGUUGGCUAAUCCUGGUCGGACAUCAGGAGGUUAGUGCAAUGGCAUAAGCCAGCUUGACUGCGAGCGUGACGGCGCGAGCAGGUGCGAAAGCAGGUCAUAGUGAUCCGGUGGUUCUGAAUGGAAGGGCCAUCGCUCAACGGAUAAAAGGUACUCCGGGGAUAACAGGCUGAUACCGCCCAAGAGUUCAUAUCGACGGCGGUGUUUGGCACCUCGAUGUCGGCUCAUCACAUCCUGGGGCUGAAGUAGGUCCCAAGGGUAUGGCUGUUCGCCAUUUAAAGUGGUACGCGAGCUGGGUUUAGAACGUCGUGAGACAGUUCGGUCCCUAUCUGCCGUGGGCGCUGGAGAACUGAGGGGGGCUGCUCCUAGUACGAGAGGACCGGAGUGGACGCAUCACUGGUGUUCGGGUUGUCAUGCCAAUGGCACUGCCCGGUAGCUAAAUGCGGAAGAGAUAAGUGCUGAAAGCAUCUAAGCACGAAACUUGCCCCGAGAUGAGUUCU
rnacentral:rRNA from 1 species